GCCUGUGGCCACAUCAAUAUUUCACUGCUCUCAUCAGCUUUUACAAACGCAGCAGUGAGGGGCCUGGUUAGUGCUUGGAUGGGGGAACCUGUAGAGAACACCCAAGUUGUUGCAAGCA
rnacentral:rRNA from 1 species